rnacentral:tRNA from 1 species
GAUGUGGUGGCCUAAUGGUUAGCGUGUUGGACUCUGGAUUGAGUGGUCCAGGUUCGAGCCUGGCUGGUGUCG